GACGAACGCUGGCGGCGUGCUUAACACAUGCAAGUCGAACGAUGAAGCCCUUUCGGGGGUGGAUUAGUGGCGAACGGGUGAGUAACACGUGGGUAACCUGCCCUGUACCCUGGGAUAAGCCUUGGAAACGAGGUCUAAUACCGGAUAUGACCUGCUCUCGCAUGGGGGUGGGUGGAAAGUUUUGGCGGUGCAGGAUGGACCCGCGGCCUAUCAGCUUGUUGGUGGGGUGAUGGCCUACCAAGGCGACGACGGGUAGCCGGCCUGAGAGGGCGACCGGCCACACUGGGACUGAGACACGGCCCAGACUCCUACGGGAGGCAGCAGUGGGAAUAUUGCACAAUGGGCGAAAGCCUGAUGCAGCGACGCCGCGUGA
rnacentral:rRNA from 1 species